CACACACACACACACACACACACACACACACACACACACACACACACACACACACACACACACACACACACACACACAGCACUACCCUCAGGUUCCACCCCUGAGGGUAUUGUUGUGUGAGUUCCAGUGUGUUGUCUUUAAUGUUGGUGCUGCUGGCAGGAAACAACCCUGAGCUUCAGAGAGAGAGAGAGAGCUAGCGAGAGAUUGAGAAUACUUGACAUAAAAGCUGCACUGCAUUCUGGGUAUAUUGUAUAUUGCUUUGCAUAUUGCCGUGGGGACAGCCUUGUUGCCUUGGCUCCCCAGGUGUUACAGAAGCCCCUACGGACCAACCCCCUCCCCAGGUACCAGCUUCAUCCCUCAGAUGAAUCACAGUCCACUGUAAGAAUUCUAAUUUACUUUUCUAAGAGAUAUGAUCACAGCAACCCAGAUGAAAAUAAAGCAACUGCAUGUACUGUUAGGUAGACAUACUUAGGCAGGAUUAUGGUUGGAAAACUUUCACUAUUUUGUUGGAGGAUUCUGGAUUUUAUGCUUAUUCCCUCCUGAUUCAGGGAAUUCUCUAAUCGAGAUUUUGGAAAAAACUGUGAAUUUAUUGAAAGUUCCUGGAAUUUUUCAACCCUAGGCAGGAUAAUAAAUGCCUUGAGGUGAGUUAUGUUGAGAGUACCGUAGGUGAGUUAUGUUGAGAGUACCGUAGGUGAGUCAUGUUGAGAGUACCUUAGGUGAGUCAUGUUGAGAGUACAGUAGGUGAGUCAUGUUGAGAGUACAGUAGGUGAGUCAUGUUGAGAGUACAGUAGGUGAGUCAUGUUGAGAGUACCGUAGGUGAGUUAUGUUGAGAGUACCGUAGGUGAGUCAUGUUGAGAGUACCUUAGGUGAGUCAUGUUGAGAGUACAGUAGGUGAGUCAUGUUGAGAGUACAGUAGGUGAGUCAUGUUGAGAGUACAGUAGGUGAGUCAUGUUGAGAGUACAGUAGGUGAGUCAUGUUGAGAGUACCGUAUGUGAGUUAUGUUGAGAGUACCGUAUGUGAGUCAUGUUGAGAGUACCGUUGGUGAAUCAUGUUGAGAGAACCGUAUGUGAGUCAUGUUGAGAGUACCCUAGGUGAGUUAUGUUGAGAGUACCGUAGGUGAUUUAUGUUGAGAGUACCGUAGGUGAGUUAUGUUGAGAGUACCGUAUGUGAGUCAUGUUGAGAGUACCGUAUGUGAGUCAUGUUGAGAGUACAGUAGGUGAGUCAUGUUGAGAGUACCGUAGGUGAGUUAUGUUGAGAGUACCGUAUGUGAGUCAUGUUGAGAGUACAGUAGGUGAGUCAUGUUGAGAGUACUGUAGGUGAGUUAUGUUGAGAGUACCGUAGGUGAGUUUGAGGCUUCCGAAAUUACGUUUGAGUCGAGGUUCCAAUCAUGGUCUCCAACGAGCCUUUAGUGUGACCCCAGAAACCUGUCACAAAACACAGAAAAAAAAACAAGUGAAGGAAAUAAAGGAAGAAAAGAUUGAAAGAAGUCCUAGUUAGUCAAAAGGCAUCGGUCCCGUUUUUAACAGUUAUAACAUAAGAGCUAUUAACAGGGGCAUGGAUGGAUCAGCAGACUUACAUUAGCUCCCUAACGGUCCCACUCAGAAAUAGCAUGAUGAAAGCUGAUAUUUGAUGAAAGACGAUUAUGCUAAUAAUAUUUAGUUAUGCAUCAGUAUCCUCUAAUAAAAUCUCUGACAUGGAUCUGCGUUGAACUAAAAGGAGUGUAUUCAGACGAG
rnacentral:lncRNA from 1 species